UAAAUUAAGAAAAUGUUUCCAAGCAACAUGC
rnacentral:piRNA from 1 species